CAUUUCUGUGGAUCACCGUCGCAAGAACAAAUCACUCGAGGGACUGCAGGCUAAUGUCCAGAGGCUUAAGACGUACAAGGCCAAGCUGGUUAUCUUCCCAAGGCGUGCUCGCAAGGUCAAGGUAUGGCCACUUUUCUUUUCCUGAAUGUGUCAUCUCUUCAAAACAUUGUCCAAAUUUCUUUCAGCCUCUAAUCCUUGGUCACCUACCUUCAUGGCAGGCUGGUGACUCAACUCCGGAGGAGCUUGCCACUGCCACCCAGGUCCAGGGUGACUACAUGCCUAUUACUCGUGGUGAGAAGCGCUCAGUUGAGGUUGUGAAGGUUACCGAUGAGAUGAAGACGUUCGCAGCCUAUGGCAAGCUACGCCUUGAGCGGAUGAACAAGAAGCACCUUGGUGCCCGCCAGAAGAAGGCUGCUGAGGCAGAGAAGGAAGAGAAGAAGUGAAGUGACCGGAUAUAGUACCCUGUUUGUUACAUUCCAGUCUUGUAGUG
rnacentral:lncRNA from 1 species